rnacentral:lncRNA from 1 species
AGAACUUCCUAACAAUUUGAAGAUAACAAAGAUGCAUAAAGUAGUAAGCCACAUACUUCCAGAAAUAAUUCAAUUCUCAGCUGGAAGACAAUUCAGCAGAGAUGCUGCAGGGGGAAUGUAAGUUUCAAAUGAGUUGAAGAUGAACCUAAACAACAGUAACCUUGAACAUUUAUGAUUCUGCAAAUUAUGAUAUAUUGAGAUUUAUCCUCAGAGACCUCGUUGGCUAUUAGACAUUUUGGUUCUUAGGGUCAAUUUUCUGGUGGAGAACAACUAGUAGUCCAUGAGUCAUACCUGGCCCACCUAGUAUUUGUUAAAUAUUUAAAUAAUUACCAACACUCCAAACUCUUGGAAAAUUCAUAUAAAGCUUUGAUUUUAUAGCCUCUCUUGGAAAAACUAGACGUGUAUUAGCUGUAAACAUGAUUGACUACACCCUUAGCACAAAGUUCCUGUUCUCCCAAUUUCUAGUUCAACUCAUUUAUUUACACUGCCUCUCUUUCUCUGAUUUAUAUUUCAUUUUGCAAUCCCUGUAUAAACCAAAAUUAACACUAUUCUCUACUCUGACUACCACAGCUUUAUCCUCUUUUUCUGUUAGACUGAUCUAGAUUCCACUGACCACAAUCAUACACUUUAACAAUUAUUGCAAAAAAAUAACAAUAAUAACAAACAUAAGAAGUAUAGGGUAACACUUACCGAGGGUUCAUUCUGUGCACUGUACUAAUGCUGUAAUAUACUAUGUUAAUCAGUAUAGACAAGGCUUCCACUGCUGCAACAAUUCCCAAUCUCAAUGACUUAACACAGAAAGGUUCAUUUCUUGCACGCAUUUCACAUCUAAUAGGGAUUAGCACAGUAUUUUAAUCCACAUAAUACUCAGGUACCCAUCUGACCAAGGCUCUACUAUUCUGUGGUUUCUUUUUUGAUUCUCUCAAAUAUUUAGUAGACUUUCUCUUUGAUUGCCAGAAAUUCCAUGGACCAACAUCUGCAUCAAUAGUUCUUUGUGAAGCAUGCUUUCAGAAAAUAUUCUAUUUUCCAGGCUUUCCCCUAGAACUCAAAGUUCAUUAGAAUUUGAUCUCCUCAAGUUCUAUCAGAUGUCAGUACUGCCAAACAUUUUGCCACUACAUAACAUGGAUUGCCACUCUUCUGACCUCUGAGAUCACUAUCCUUAAUGCCUUUUGUCCAACCCUUAGGCUAAUAUUUAAAACAUAAAUAUUUUAUGCUUUUAUUACAACAGCAUCCUACUUCCUGUAAGAUCUGUAUUAUUUACAAUAGCUUAAGCUUAUGCUGCAGUAACAAGUCAUCCAAAUUUUUAGUGGCUUGACAUUGGAAAAGUUUAUUUCUCAUUUUUGCAACCUAUCUGAUCAUAGUAGCCAGGACUCUGCUCCACACUAUCACUCAGGGACCCAGGCUGACUAAAGCUCUACCAUCUUGUAGCUUUGCCACCUAUAAUAUGCUACCUUCUCAGCUGUCACAGCAAGGGAAGACAAAGACUAGUGGAUUAGUCAUCAACUUUUUAAUGCCUCACUCCAGAAGUGACGCACAGUACUUUCACAUUUCAUCAGCCAGGAAAUGACACCUAACUGCAAGUGUUGGUGGGAAAUCUGAGAAUAGAUAGAAACGUUAGUGAGUACCAGUCUCUUUGCCUCAUUAUCCCACUUAAUUCUUCUUCCACAAUUCUUUCAAGUAUCAUUAUCCCAGUCUACAGAUGAAGAAACUGAGACACGAAGAAGUUGAAUGAAUUAUCUAAAGACAAGGCUAGUAAAUGGAAGAUGCAGGGUAAGAUUCCAAAAUGAGAAACCAGGUAGAGGAAUCGUAACCUAAACACACUAUCUACAUCUUUUAGGUACUUCUAAAUUUAUUCAUUUACCAAAAAUUCAUUGAUUUACCUCACAGAAGUCCAGAUUUCACCACCAUAGUGUGAUUUUGCACAACUCAUGACUUCAGUCUCACAGGACUUAUUAAUGUGAGAAUAAAAAAUACCCACAGAACUUCAGUUUACUUUCCUGUGAUUAAAGAAAGUGGACUAGGGGAUCCCUGGGUGGCGCAGCAGUUUAGCGCCUGCCUUUGGCCCAGGGCACGAUCCUGGAGACCCAGGAUUGAAUCCCACGUCCGGCUCCCGGUGCAUGGAGCCUGCUUCUCCCUCUGCCUAUGUCUCUGCCUCUCUCUCUCUCUCUCUCUCUGUGACUAUCAUAAAUAAAUAAAAAUUUUUUUAAAAAGUGGACUAGUAAUUCUCAAUGCUCCAUCCACCUCAGGUACUAGUGAUUCAAUUCUUAGGCCAGUGUGAAAUUAAUUCAGAACUCAGGUAUCAGCCCUCCAACUGUGCUACUUCAUUACCCACAGAAUCUUGGUGGCCUGGGUGACAUGAUGUGCAAAAGGUGAUCAGCAUUAUCAGUGCUUCUUCAUACUUACAAAAAUAUUUGAAAUGUUUUAUUUCUCCUUCUUUUAUGGGGUUAGGCAAUUGAUAUUACUUUCAAGUGGCAUCCCCUAGAUAAGAAAAGUUAAAUUUCCAUUGUUUUAGCCCAUUUUAAAACUGAACAUAAGAAGAGAGGGCAAAGAAUUUUUUCUCUCCCAAGUCCUCACUACGUGCUUAUGAGGACUUCGGUGGUGAGGGUGUAGAGGGGGUCAGGCAUUUGGGUUCCAUAUGUAGAUCACAAGAUAAAUAUCUAGUCCUCCCCCUGUUGUACUUACUCAUGUCAUCCCCAGUCAAUAAACAUCAAACCCUUUUUAAAUUUAAAUGGAAGUCAGCUGUAUCAAUAGGACUAGUAUUACCAAUAGAACAACUAGGACUAAGAUCAUCUGGGUACAUUUGGAAAUUGGUGAACUGUGCCCACCAGAGGUCUGUUGACACAGAGAUGCUGAUGAAUGUUAGGAGAAAGAAGUCUGGAAAAGAUGUAGAACAGAGCCAGGGAGUAGGUAAAAGUCUUCUCAACCUUUAUAUGAAUAGAAGAGGAAACCAAGCACUCAAGUCUUCUCCUACUGAAGAAGCUUGAGCUAUAGGAUGGAAGGGGCAAUUCUGAAUCUGAGUGACUCAGAGGCAUAAAUAGCACUACUUGGGGCCCUGUGACAAAGCAGAGCACAAAAUCCAGAAGGAAAGUAAGUCAUUCUACUUCAGUAAUCUACUGCUGCAUAACAAACCAUUCCAAACUGAAGAGUGCAAAACAGUAAGAAUUUUAACAUAUCUCAUGACUCUCAGGCAGAGGAAAGGCUCAUCUUUGUAUCAUGGUAUCUGGGCCUCAGCUUGGAAGAGUGAGAGGGAUGGGGUGAUUCAGACAUUUUGGCAAUGGAAUUAUCUGAAGGCUAUUUCAUUCACAUGUCCAACUCAUUUUACUCAAAGUUUCCACUUAACCAGGACUGUUGAACAAAGUACCUACACAUGGCCUCUCUGUGAGGCUUGGUCUUGCAGCAUGCAGCUGGAUUCUGAGAGAGAGCAUCUCAAGAGGAAACACCUGGAAAGAUAAUGUUCCAAGAGAGCCAAGUGGCAGUGCAUAGCUUUUUAUGACCUAACCUCAGAAGCCACAUACCAUCAUUUCUCCAUACUCUGUUAGUCACAGCAAUGAUUGGCCUGCCUAUAAUCUAUGAGGAGGGACACAAACUCAACUUGAUUGAAGUAACAUCAAAGAAUUUGGAGCCACAUUUUUAAAUCAUCAUACAUUCUUCCCCACUUUGGCUUUGCCAUCUCAAGGGUUGUUGGGCCUCACUUGUGGCAGACACAUAAUUAUUGACACAGUGGCACCUAGCAUGAGACUGCCUGGUUUGUAGUCACACUAAGAUACACAUUAGGAACACCUAGAAAUCCUUGAGGAAUACCUCAUAGGAACCUAAGUUCCUGUGCAAAUAAGAAAAGCAAAAGCCAGAGGAACCAGCUUAUUCUUAAUAAUGUAGUUCCAUGUGUGAGCACAGGCGGGAGAAAUCUCAGCAAAGGGUAGGAGGAACAUGCUGUAUACUUAGGAAUUGUCAGAGAAAACAGGGCAACUAAAAGGGAAACCCACAGGGACUCUAAAAGACAGGGACUAAUGUACCACUUACUGCAAUGCUACCCAAUUCAGGAUGGCUGCAGAUUGCAAACUAGAUGAGCUAUUUUGUUCUGUUGAAAUAAGGAAACAAGCUGUGCUUUUCAAGCCAACCCUUUAAGCCAACCUUGAGUCUUCUAUAAAGAAUUGCAAGCAUGAUGCUCUUCAAAAUGCCAACCACGGAUGCUCAUGGAAAUACAAGUUUCAUGUGCACAAGUAAGGAAAGGGCUUUAUGUUAGAAAUUGGCUUUUCAGCCACACACACACACAUACAUACACCCUGCCCUCACAUCUUUAAUAAUAAAACAAACCACACAAAAUUUAUUUCCAAGCACUUGAUCAUUCUGAAAAAUCAGAGGGAAUUUGAGCCAAAAGGGAGGAAAGUAACCCUUAUCCACAAAGGAUAAAUAUCUGCCCCAUAAUUUAUGGAGAAUGCAAAUCAUCCAAGCAGCAGUCUAUUGGCAUUGACUGUUAUUUCAUUUAAUUAAAUGGCUAUACAAGCCUCAGAAUGCCAUGUCUCCUGCCAGCUGACCCUAUUCCCACGACCUUCCCUUCACAGAGUUCAGGGGAACAUGAUACUAAAGAAAGACAUUUCAUUUUAAACUAGAGAGAAAUAUGAAUUGGUACAUGAAGGGAGGUCAGGUGGUGAGGACUUUUCCUUUGACUAAUUUGUGCCAUCGAAGCCUCUGACUACUGUGCAUGAUAAAUUUACAUUGUCUCGUUUUUUGUUUUGUUUUGUUUUCUUAAUUCAGAGGGCAGUCAGCCUUGUCACUUUUGCAUUAUCAUGUAGCUAAAUUUUGCAUGAAACGUGUCACUGUGUAUGAUGUUUUUUAAAGAUUACAGAAAUCAGCAUUUCUUAUGCUUGCUUUUGCUACUAAAAUCUUGAUUCUUGAAAGAUUCUGGACCUUCUGAGUAUUCAUUAAGCACUGGAGUUGUGAUCCCAUGGUUAGGCUGAUUAAGUCUUGGAGCACGUGUAGGUGAAGUUCUAAGGAGAAGUUUCAUGCUGGCUUAUCUCACCUACCCAUAGAACUCAAGGUUCAUGGGUCUAUACUAGAUCUACCUGAAAUGAACCUGCACAAAGGCAUCUGGAUGGCUUAGUCAUUUAAGUGUCCGAUUCUUGAUUUUGGCUCAGGUCAAGAUUUCAGGGCCAUGAGACAGACCUCCAUGUCGGGCUCUGAAGCCAGCAGGGGGCCUGUUUGAGAUUCUCGUUCUCUGGCUGCUCCUCUCCCUGUGUUCAUGUACUUCUCUCUCUCUCUCAAAUAAAUUUUAAAAAUCUUUUUAAAAAGUGAAUCCACACAGUGUCUGAUCUCUCUUCUUUUCUCCCAUGACCGCCUCCCUCAGUCUUUUUUUAUUAUUACACUCAUGAAUUUUUAAAAUAAGUAUUUUAAAAUACUUGGGCAGCCCAGGUGGCUCAGCGGUUUAGCGCUGCCUUCAGCCCAGGGCAUGAUCCUGGAGACCCAGGAUCGAGUCCCACUGCAUGAAGCCUGCUUCUCCCUCUGCCUAUGUCUCUGCCUCUCCUUCUCUCUCCCUCUGAUGAAUAAAUAAAUAAAAUCUUUUAAAAAAAUAAAAUACUUUUAUUCCAUUGUAUUAAUUGUAAAAGGGAAUACAUUUUUAUGUAGUAUACAGUAUUUCCAGCUUUCUAAAAGAUUCCUCCAUGCCCCCUCCUAGUUAAUAUCUUCCCCUGAAAGGUAACCACUGCUCUGACUUUAGUCACCAUACAUUAGUUUUGCCUAUUUCUUGAACUUCAUAUAAAUGGAAUUACACAAUACAGUUUAUACACUGUUGUUUCUUUCAUUCACCAUUAUGACUAUGAGUCCUCUGUGUUGUUGAAUGUAGCAACAUUUCUCCCUUUCUAAUAUACCAUUGUAUGAAUAUACAUACAAUAAUAGUUUAUUUGGAGACGUUCUACUGCUAAAGAUCCAUUUUACUGCUGAUGGUGCCCUCAGGCUUUUUCCUCUAUUUGUUAUCCUCCUCAGAUAUCAGCUAUAAUAUCAAAAAAGAGUCAGGCCCUUCUCGAAGCCGAGAGCAAUUCCAGGCUCCAUGAGGUGAGUAGAUGAAGGAGAUAUAUUCAAGCCUUUGAGAUCCUAUCCUGGAGGCUAUUUUAAGUCCUUUAGAGUCUUCUAAGUGAAACAACCAAAAGAAGACAAAGCAGCAGCAAUAGCAUUAUUUUCUUGCUGAUGUUGACCUCUUUCAAAGGUUAACUUAUAUGUUCAACUAUUGGAUAUUUUUAGCACCUAUUGUAUGCCAGAUAUUUGUUAGGUCCUAGGAAUGAAGCAUCAAAUAAGACAGAUAAGGAUGCUGUUCUUCUGAAGCUAACUUUCAAAGAAGAUAUCAGAUGGUGAUGAAAUCUAUGGUGAAAAUUAAAAUAGGACAGUGCAAUGAAAUAG